rnacentral:lncRNA from 1 species
UUUUUUUUUUUCUUUUUUGAGACAGACUCUUGCUCUGUCACCCAGGCUGGAGUGCAGUGGCACUUAACUGCAGUCUCUGUCUCCUGGAUUCAAGUGAUUCUCGUGCCUCAGCCUCCCAAGUAGCUGGGAUUACAGGUGUGCACCACCACGCCCGGCUAAUUUUUGUAUUUUUAGUAGAGACAGAGUUUCACCAUGUUGGCCAGUCUGGUCUUGUACUCCUAGCCUGAAGUGACCUCCCCACCUCGGCCUCCCAAAAUGCUGGGAUUACAGGAGUGAGCCACCACACCCAGCCAUAUUUCCUCACUGUUCUGAAGGCUAGAAAUCUGAAAUCAAGGUGCCAACCAGUCCAGGCACUCUGUUAAGACACUUGGAAUGGAUCCUUCCUUGCCCCUUUCAAUGUCUGCUGGAACCAACCAUCCAUGGACUUCCUUGGCUUGCAGACACAUCACUCCAAUCUCUGCCUCUGUUGUCCCACUGCCUCCUUCUCUGUGUGUCUCUGUGUUUGUGUCUCCAAAUAUCUCUUUCCUCAUAAGGACACCAGCCCUUGGCUUUAGGGCCCACCCUAAUCAAAUAUGACCUUACCUUGAUCACAUCUGCAAAGAUGUUUCCAAAUAAAGUCACAUUCUGAGGUUCUAGAUGAACGUGAAUUUUGAGGGGGUCACUAUUCAACCCAGUACACCAUCCAAGAAGUUUACCAGCUUUCCUGAUACCAGUUAGUGCUCCAGCCAAGGAUAACUACUUUUAGGAACAUCCCAUGGUCUCUGGGGUAAAAUUACAGCGUCUGUCUUUACUACAGGCCAGAGCAGCCUCUAGACCUCAAAUCAACAAACAGCAGCUCCUGGAAAUCUCUGAAAGUCACAGACCAAGGAUAAGCAUUGACUUGAUAUCACUUUUCUACUUUUCCUUCCAAAAAAUUUCUGGACUCUCUUCCAGCACCAAGACCGUCAAUCCAGUGGCACGUGUUAGUGCUUCUCCAUGACCCUUAUGGCUAAGCACACCUUCCUAGUGAUGAUAACUUGAUCCCAACAACACAAACCAUCACCUUCCAUGCAAAUGAAGGGCACAGAGGACUUUGAAAUACAGACCUCCUCCCCUCCUUGGCUCCAGAGCCUCAUGACUAUAGGACCAGGCCUGGAAGCCCAGAGGACCAGGCUGGAUGUGGCUGCACCAUCCUUCCUCAUCAUGCAGUGAUUCGUUGCUUGCUCUGCACUCAGCUUGGGCCAUCCCCAUCGAGAGGAGAUGGGGAAGAGAGGAGAGAUGGAGAGAGGGGAGGUGAGUCUGGCUGCAAUCCGAUUUCUGUUGCAGAAGACAUUCUGACCCUGGGGACUUGGGAAACAGACCCCUUCGUGCAGCACGUUAUUCUGCCUUUGCUUCCUCUGCUCUUUCCCACCUCUCCAUCUGCUGCUGAAAUGCUGAGGUCCCUGACUUGGAGGCUGAGCCCUGCCCUGGCUUCUUUCUGGCUGGGGAGAAAUUCUAUCAGAUGCCUCAGCCACACCU